GCCUGAAUCGCCUCCAGGCAGCGCAGCAGAAGAGCUGGGCCAAGGGCUGGGGCUGGGAGGGGGACCAGGGGGAGGCAGGCGGUGCUGCAUGGGUGCUGCUUUGUGGGGGUCCUCGUCCUGCAACCAGCACGAGGUAGAGGCACACAGAGACAGACCCACCCAGCGCUCCCAUCGGAUGCCGCCUUCAGCGCCAGCUGCAGGAGAACUGGGAUGGAUGGAAACCUUGGAAACCCACAUUGGUCCACGGGGGACGGGUUGCCAUGGCGAUGCCAUCGCUCCGCAGCACAGCUCCGGCACAGCCCGCUCACUGCAGUGCAGGCGGUGGGGCCGGCGCUGCCCACGGGAUGGCAGCCCACCCCAAAGACCCCAAGGACACCACCAGCUGCCCACCCUGCAAUCCCCUCCACGGGGUGAGGAGCCUGCUGCCAUCUGCUCUGGGUGUCCCCACCAUCAGCAGAGAGCGGACACCACAUCCCUGAGAGCACACGUGGUCAACAUCUGUGUGAGGACACGGGAUAUCCCCAGCUCCAGGGAUGUGGUUGGAGCUGCAGGCAAAGAGAAGCAGAAAUAAACUGAACUGUGAUGGCA